rnacentral:rRNA from 1 species
GUCGGCAGCUAGCUUUCUGCAACUCUCACAUGGUCGUCCACUGAAGCUAAGCGGGGCUGCGCCUGGUCAGUACCAGGAUGGGAGACCACAUGGGAAAGCUAGAUUGCUGCUGGAA